UACAGAGGUCUCGAGCGUUAAUCGGAAUUACUGGGCUUAAAGGGUGCGUAGGCGGCCCCGAAAGCGUCGUGUGAAAGCCCCCGGCUCAACCGGGGAACGGCACGGCGAACUACGGGGCUUGAGAGAACUAGGGGCUGACAGAACAGUAGGUGGAGCGGUGAAAUGCGUAGAUAUCUACUGGAACGCCGAUGGUGAAGACGGUCAGCUGGGGUUCUUCUGACGCUGAGGCACGAAAGCGUGGGGAGCAAACAGG
rnacentral:rRNA from 1 species